ACUCUAAAGCCACCCCAAAAAAAGUCCCCCGCUGAGAUAACAAACUUGAUCUGUACCCAAUAAAAUGUACCCAGGAAAGCAACCUCAUAAAAAUCUACGGGUGAGACAUUCUCUUCAGCAGCUUCAACUCAAUCGGACGGCUGAUCUUAUAUGGAUCCGCGGCUUCAACGCACCACGUCAGCCCGCGCGUCCGCGCCCCCCUCCCUCUUUUGGCUCCCACCAAAAAAAAAUCCGCCGCGGCCGCAGACGCGUAAUCCGGCGCGACGGCCUCCGACACCGCUUCCGGGUCCGGCGCCCGCCUCCCCCUCUAGCCUCCAGGUCCGGCCGCCGCUUCCCCUCGCCGCCGUUCGCGGGCCGGGCUGGGAUCCGGCCGCCCCUCACCGCGCCCCUGCGAACCCGGCCACCGGUCCCCCAGAUCUGGCGCUCCUCCUUGCCGGCAGCCGGCGACAGCGAGCGGUGGCGCUCGGGCUGGAGGAGGACCCGCCCGAGCCGCUCCGUCCCUCGCGGAUCCGCCCCGUCGCACGCGUUCUCCUCCCCGCUCGCCCGCCGCCGCGCGCGUCCUCCUUCUCCGCCAGUCAGGACGCGUCGUCCUCCCCCACCAGGCCGUCGCCGCACGCGUCGCUCUCGCUGACCAGGGACGCCCUCGCCACAGUGGUGCAGGAGAUGGAGGAGAGCUGCACCUCGCCGCCGCCGUCGCGGGAUCUGGCAGGAGGAAGGACGCACGCGCGCCGGCGUGCCGCUGCUCGAGCCGACUGCCGCUGCCCCGCGCGCGUGCCGUGGCUGCCCACGCCGGCCGCCGUGGCUCCACGCCGUUCCCCCACCGGCCGCUGCUGCCGCCAAGCUCAAGACCCUCAAGCCACUCCAAGACGCCGUCGAGGCACCCUGCCCCCUCGCGGCCGAUUGCGGCAGCUGCAUGAUCAAGUCCCUUGCGUACGCAGCGCAGAUCCGACACAAGCACCACCAGGGUCGAGACACUCCACGGCCGGCUUGCGCGCCCACCUCCCUGCCUCCGACAGGUUCGUCGAUGGCACCGGCGCCACGAUCCGCUGCUCGCCGUCCGGCCGACAUCCUCUGCUGCCGUCGUGCAGCGCUCGCCGGCCAGAGACACUACGCAAGUCGGGUGAGAAACCAUCGUCUGGACGUCGGCAUGCCGGUGCCCUCCAACGUUGUCAUCACGCCACCACUCAGGGUUAUUGGCAUCUCUUGUACUAAGGACAUGCCGAGACAACCAGCGUGACACUUACCGAUAUCACCAACACCUCAACCUCAGAUCAAGCCGGUGCCGUGGAUGCUGCUGCGCCGAGGAGGCAAGAAAGGAAUAAGCAACAACGCAAACGGCGAUCUGAGAUGUCUGAUGAACAAAGAGAAGAGAUUAAUAGGAAACAACAUGAGUAUCGUGCGCGAAAAAAAGGCAGAGUCAAACCGCACUUACCCUACAGGCGUCCUCACUCCAACCAUGACAUCCUCCACAUUGGCAGUUCAGAAUCAAAGCCAUUCUGCCAAUCCACUGCUUGAGUGCAUGAAUAAAGUAACUACAGGAUCGAUAUUUCUAUUGGAGAGCAUGAGCUUAUAACAAUACUUUCAAUUAAUCUGUUUAGUGCAUAACAUCUCGAAGUUUUCAGGCACAAUUUUUUUAAAGGUUUCACAUGUUUUUUGUAGUGAAGCAGCUAGGAAGCUUUGGCAUAUGCUCCAUCGUUUGGAUUUGUUUUGUAAGUGUGAUGAGACAAAUCUGUGGAAAGAAGAAAUGAUCUUGCUCGUCUUAUAUCUCAAACAUAAUUCUGAUGUAUGUCAACUGAA